UAGGGAAUCUUCGGCAAUGGACGAAAGUCUGACCGAGCAACGCCGCGUGAGUGAAGAAGGUUUUCGGAUCGUAAAACUCUGUUGUUAGAGAAGAACAAGGACGUUAGUAACUGAACGUCCCCUGACGGUAUCUAACCAGAAAGCCACGGCUAACUACGUGCCAGCAGCCGCGGUAAUACGUAGGUGGCAAGCGUUGUCCGGAUUUAUUGGGCGUAAAGCGAGCGCAGGCGGUUACUUAAGUCUGAUGUGAAAGCCCCCGGCUCAACCGGAGAGGGUCAUUGGAAACUGGGAGAGUUGAGUGCAGAAGAGGGGAGUGGAAGUCGAUGUGUAGCGGUGAAAUGCGUAGUUAUAUGGAGGAACACCAGUGGAGAAGGCGGCUUUCUGGUCUGUAACUGACGCUGAGGCUCGAAAGCGUGGGGAGCAAACAGG
rnacentral:rRNA from 1 species